AAGUUGGUAUCAGAGCAUUCUUGAUUCUAGGAUUUGUUGGGUUAUUGAUUCACCACACACUUGGCCGUUUGGACUCAUGGUGAGAUAGUUGGGUUCUAAGUAAUCUUUUCUACUGAUUAACUUAGGAGUGAUUGAGGUUUGUGUGUUCAGUUGUGGACUAACCUUUUGUUUGUGUUUGGAACUCCUAAGGGAACAAGAAGGUAUAAA
rnacentral:lncRNA from 1 species